ACGCUCGACACCUACGUGAGGCAGCAGUGGGGAAUAUUGCACAAUGGGGGAAACCCUGAUGCAGCAACGCCGCGUGAAGGAAGACGGUUUUCGGAUUGUAAACUUCUGUUCUUAGUGAAGAUAGUGACGGUAGCUAAGGAGCAAGCCACGGCUAACUACGUACCAGCAGCCGCGGUAAUCUGAGCGGGCUGGCAAGGC
rnacentral:rRNA from 1 species